AGAGUUUGAUCCUGGCUCAGAUUGAACGCUGGCGGCAUGCCUAACACAUGCAAGUCGCACGCGAAAGGGGGCAACCCCGAGUAGAGUGGCGGACGGGUGCGUAAUACGCAGGAAUCUACCCACGAGUGGGGGACAACCCGGGGAAACCCGGGCUAAUACCGCAUGAGACCUACGGGUGAAAGCGGGGGAUCGCAAGACCUCGCGCUGGUGGAUGAGCCUGCGUCCGAUUAGCUAGUUGGUAGGGUAAAAGCCUACCAAGGCAACGAUCGGUAGCUGGUCUGAGAGGACGACCAGCCACACUGGGACUGAGACACGGCCCAGACUCCUACGGGAGGCAGCAGUGGGGAAUAUUGGGCAAUGGGGGAAACCCUGACCCAGCGACGCCGCGUGUGUGAAGAAGGCCUUCGGGUUGUAAAGCACUUUCGAUGGGGACAAACGUGUCGGGCUUAAUACGUCCGGCCUUGAUGGUACCUAGAGAAGAAGCACCGGCUAACUCUGUGCCAGCAGCCGCGGUAAUACAGAGGGUGCAAGCGUUAAUCGGAAUUACUGGGCGUAAAGCGUGCGUAGGUGGUUGGAUAAGUCAGGUGUGAAAUCCCCGAGCUUAACUUGGGAAUUGCGCUUGAUACUGUCCGGCUAGAGUGUGGUAGAGGGUAGUGGAAUUCCGCAUGUAGCGGUGAAAUGCGUAGAUAUGCGGAGGAACAUCAGUGGCGAAGGCGGCUACCUGGACCAACACUGACACUGAGGCACGAAAGCGUGGGUAGCAAACAGGAUUAGAUACCCUGGUAGUCG
rnacentral:rRNA from 1 species